AGUGAACGCUGGCGGUAGGCCUAACACAUGCAAGUCGAACGGCAGCACAGUAAGAUCUUGCUCUUACGGGUGGCGAGUGGCGGACGGGUGAGGAAUACAUCGUAAUCUACUUUUUCGUGGGGGUUAACGUAGGUGAACUUACUCUAAUACCGCAUACGCCCUACGGGUGAAAGCAGGGGAUCUUCGGACCUUGCGCGGUUGAAUGAGCGGAUGUCGGAUUUGCUAGUUGGCGGGCUAAAUGCCCACCAGGUCGACGAUCCGUAGCUGGUCUGAGAGGAUGGUCAGCCGCACUGGAGCGGGGACAGGGACAAGACGCCUACGAGAGGCAGCAGACGGGAAUAGUGGGCAACAGGCGGAAGUCUGAUCCAGCCAGACCGCGUGGGUGAAGAAGACCUUGGGGUUGUAAAGCCCUUUUGUUGGGAAAGAAAAGCAGCAGGUUAAGACCCCGCUGUUCUGACGGUACCCAAAGAAUAAGCACCGGCUAACUUCGUG
rnacentral:rRNA from 1 species